rnacentral:rRNA from 1 species
AGACAGCAGUCGCCGCGGUAAUACGUAGGUGGCAAGCGUUGUCCGGAAUUACUGGGCGUAAAGGGAGCGCAGGCGGACAUAUAAGUCCAUCUUAAAAGUGCGGGGCUCAACCCCGUGAGGGGAUGGAAACUGUAUGCCUUGAGUGCAGGAGAGGAAAGCGGAAUUCCCAGUGUAGCGGUGAAAUGCGUAGAUAUUGGGAGGAACACCAGUGGCGAAGGCGGCUUUCUGGACUGCAACUGACGCUGAGGCUCGAAAGCCAGGGGAGCGAACGGGAUUAGAUACCCCUGUAGUCCCUGUCUCUUAUACA